GGUCGGGUAGCGAGCAGAACAUACAACACCCUUGUUUAAGGGAAAAACUGCUGGCCGUCUACUUGCGGUGUUGAAGUACCUGACCGCCCUCUC
rnacentral:ncRNA from 1 species